UGGGGAAUAUUGGACAAUGGGCGAAAGCCUGAUCCAGCAAUGCCGCGUGAGUGAUGAAGGCCUUAGGGUUGUAAAGCUCUUUUACCCGGGAUGAUAAUGACAGUACCGGGAGAAUAAGCUCCGGCUAACUCCGUGCCAGCAGCCGCGGUAAUACGGAGGGAGCUAGCGUUAUUCGGAAUUACUGGGCGUAAAGCGCACGUAGGCGGCUUUGUAAGUAAGAGGUGAAAGCCCAGAGCUCAACUCCAGAAUUGCCUUUUAGACUGCAUCGCUUGAAUCAUGGAGAGGUCAGUGGAAUUCCGAGUGUAGAGGUGAAAUUCGUAGAUAUUCGGAAGAACACCAGUGGCGAAGGCGGCUCACUGGACAUGUAUUGACGCUGAGGUGCGAAAGCGUGGGGAGCAAACAGGAUUAGAUACCCCGGUAGUCC
rnacentral:rRNA from 1 species